rnacentral:lncRNA from 1 species
UUGACUUAGAUGUUUAACAUUAAUCAUAUAUUUUCUGAAACUCCGAUGCCUACAGUGUUCUGCCACAAAGUCUUAUCGGCGGAAGUCUGGAAUUGGCACCGUCUGGAAUAUUUCCAUCAACUCCUAUAAGGUUUAUUUCGGCCCCUUGAUGUCCACCAUUGUCGGUAACUUUCUUGGAUGCCGCAACCAGGAUUAAGAUGGAUAACAUGAUGUGUACGUGGCCAUGUUCUCUCAACUUGCAGGUUCUCUUUCUUCGAGGGAUAGUGUGCUCAGAUCAUAGAUUUGCUAAAAGUCAACCAGAAACAAAUGGCAUUAAUAGGUUUUUAUUUAAAGGAAGUACAGGAUGGGCUAGUCUUCCAGAUUUUCGAGUUUCCACCAAGACCUCAUAAAGAGAUUGUUCGUCCCCUAAUGCAAUCAGGUUUAUCAACGGACAAAUUGCUCGGCAAAUGAAACAUGUUGAUCGAUCUCGGCGUGGAUAAAAGCUGCGCUAAGAAAGGCAACGUUUCAACCAAGAGCCGCUGAUCUAGGUAAUUAAGAUAAUGACCAUGACGACGAAGUAGAACCAGAUGAC